rnacentral:rRNA from 1 species
CUUGAUUUAGUUUGAUCAUGGCUCAGGACUGAAUGCUUUCGGCGUGCCUUAAUACAUGCAAGUCGAGCGAACAGAGAAGGAGCUUGCUCCUUUGACGUUAGCGGCGGACGGGUGAGUAACACGUGGGCAACCUACCUUAUAGUUUGGGAUAACUCCGGGAAACCGGGGCUAAUACCGAAUAAUCUAUUUUACUUCAUGGUGAAAUACUGAAAGACGGUUUCGGCUGUCGCUAUAAGAUGGGCCCGCGGCGCCAAUUUUUAGCCUUAGUUUGGGUUUGGAAAAAGGGGGGGUAACCGGCUUCACCAAGGGCGACGAUGCGUA